rnacentral:rRNA from 1 species
AACGAACGCUGGCGGCAUGCCUAACACAUGCAAGUCGAACGCGACCUUCGGGUCUAGUGGCGCACGGGUGCGUAACGCGAGGGAACCUGCCCUUAGGUUCGGAAUACCUCCCCGAGAGGGGUGCUAAUACCGGAUAAUGUCUUCGGACCAAAGAUUUAUCGCCUUUGGAUGGGGCCGCGUUAGAUUAGCUAGUUGGUAGGGUAAAAGCCUACCAAGGUGACGUUCCAUAGCUGGUCUGAGAGGAUGAUCAGCCACACUGGGGCUGAGACACGGCCCAGACUCUUACGGGAGGCAGCAGUGGGGAAUAUUGGACAAUGGGCGAAAGCCUGAUCCAGCCAGGCCGCGAAAGUGAUGAAGGCGUGAGGGUUGUAAAGCUCUUUUACCCGGGAAGAUAAUGACAGUACCGGGAGAAUAAGCUCCGGCUAACUCCGUG